AUGCUGUCAUUGGACUAUUAUGUACUUUCUCUACUGUUACUAUCCAUUCUAACAGGUGUCAGCUGUGAAGAACUCACUGCAGUCAGGAAUGAAGAGUUCACUUUAGAAGGCAGCUCUGUUACUCUGUCCUACACAUACUCUAAAAAAGCAACUGGUAGUGAUUAUUUCUUCUGGUAUCGACAAUAUCCAGGAAAACCACCAGAGUUCCUCAUCUCCCACUCUGCUUCAGGAGCAGUAGGAAAUGAUCCAAUCCCUGGACUGUCUGUUACAGUGAGUGAUGAUAAAACCCAAAUGGAUCUGCAGAUCAUCUCAGCUAAAGUGACAGACUCUGCUGUGUACUACUGUGCUCUGCAGCCCACAGUGACAGGAAACACCAAAACUCUGUACAAAAACCUUUGGAGCAAAGACAACAGAAUACUCCACAACGUCCACUAGAGGGAGUCACACACUGUUAAACUUCAGUGUGAUGAUGAAGUCUGGAUUUAUUUCAACUUGAACAAAUUCAUGUAUUACUGUCAAUAUACUGUAUGUACUGUUGUACUCCAGUAUUGGAGAAAAGCAUGUUCACAGUUUGAAAGAAGCAUGUCUAUAAACUGGUUGGCAUCACAGACUCUCGUCUUUAUAAAAGUAUUUUCUCAGUU